rnacentral:rRNA from 1 species
UAGGGAAUCUUCGGCAAUGGGGGCAACCCUGACCGAGCAACGCCGCGUGAGUGAAGAAGGUUUUCGGAUCGUAAAGCUCUGUUGUAAGUCAAGAACGAGUGUGAGAGUGGAAAGUUCACACUGUGACGGUAGCUUACCAGAAAGGGACGGCUAACUACGUGCCAGCAGCCGCGGUAAUACGUAGGUCCCGAGCGUUGUCCGGAUUUAUUGGGCGUAAAGCGAGCGCAGGCGGUUUGAUAAGUCUGAAGUUAAAGGCUGUGGCUCAACCAUAGUUCGCUUUGGAAACUGUCAAACUUGAGUGCAGAAGGGGAGAGUGGAAUUCCAUGUGUAGCGGUGAAAUGCGUAGAUAUAUGGAGGAACACCGGUGGCGAAAGCGGCUCUCUGGUCUGUAACUGACGCUGAGGCUCGAAAGCGUGGGGGGCGAACAGGAUUAGAUACCCUGGUAGUCCACGCCGUAAACGAUGAGUGCUAGGUGUUGGAUCCUUUCCGGGAUUCAGUGCCGCAGCUAACGCAUUAAGCACUCCGCCUGGGGAGUACGACCGCAAGGUUG